UACGGAGGAUGCAAGCGUUAUCCGGAAUGAUUGGGCGUAAAGGGUUCGCAGGUGGCAAUGUAAGUCUGCUGGCAAAGAAUGAGGCUUAACCUCAUCAAGGCAGUGGAAACUACAUAGCUAGAGUACGGUCGGGGUAGAAGGAAUUCCUGGUGUAGCGGUGAAAUGCGUAGAGAUCAGGAAGAACACCGGUGGCGAAAGCGUUCUGCUAGACCUGUACUGACACUGAGGGACGAAAGCUAGGGGAGCGAAUGGG
rnacentral:rRNA from 1 species